CCCCGAAGCGUGUAAGGCUCAUAGCAGGGAACGAGAGAAGCAGUGAAUGAGUCUAGUUCCCCCCCCGCUUCGGGAACGGCACUUAGAGGGAGAGCAGGGCGCUUGGCUGGGGCUGCUCGUUCGGGUUCUGCCUGUUGUUGCGCGAAAUGGCGGCUGGCGUCUUGAUAGCAUUUCCAGCUGACUCACCUGAGUCUGACUCACGCUAUGCAACUGAGCACUGCUUUUAGGAUACACUCCUGAGUACACCGUGAGGUAAAGGUAGGACGUUUGGGAAGCUGCAACAGACGUAUGGAUGCAGGUGUUGUUGCCCUAGAUAGAGCUGCCCUUGCCACAGAUAAAUGAGUGAUCCUCCUACAUCUAAUCAGUGUUGGCACGUUCAGCAUGUCCUGCAGAGGUGGUCAGGGUCGCCCACUGUGGUCUAUGUGGAUUAAACGUACUGAUCAUGCCGAGAUAAACUUUACGGCACAUGCCCUUCAACUCUGAUGCAGCUGGGGUGCUUUGGGCUUUCGUGCAAGCGCUGGUAAGUUGUUCAGACUAUGCCCAGUGUCGGGGGAUCAGAGUGCACCACGUUUACUCUGCCUGCAGCCUCCUGGUGUGGUGUCAUGAAUAGGAUCUGCCAAGCUACUGUGGGCUUCCCUUGCAGUCCCCAUAUUGGCACCCCCUCAACAUUUUGGCACCAGUAAUCAUGUGGCCAUGAAGUAGGUUGAGUCAGCUCACUGUGCAGCUACACAAGUGCUGGUAUUGACAUGGGAGAGGUGGUGGGAGCCGGCAGGGGCAGGCAGGACUGCUCUUUUCGGCAGCAGCGCACCCUUAGAUCAGCGCCAGCUGGCCGUGACACUACACCCUCUGUCACUUGCCUGGGCUUUUAGUGUGUCAGACAGCCCAGGCUCUGACUGUGGCUCUAGCCUGUGCUUUGAUGAAGCUGCUGAAAACCUGAGACUGGUGGAUGAAUUCCUCUGCUUGUGUCUGGAUGAAGGAGACAUAGCCAGGAUACUUGGACAACUAGUAGUUCUGGAUGGAGGUGGCCUGCCCACAGGGUGGACUAAUCCCUGCGUACCGUUGAGACCACACAGCUGGGCGUACAUGGAGAGAGAGAGUGCACCUGCCUUGAGUAACGUGUAUGCUCAUCUUCUCCCAACUAAAAUGACUGACCAAUCCUAAGGAAAGGAUUGUAUUGAUCUCUGUACCCUGUAGCAUACUGAAUAAAUAAAUCUUGCUGUUACCAUGGCUGCCACAGUUUUCCUUUAACUCAGGCAGCGAAGUCGUGGGUCUUAGUGCUCAGUCCCUAUUGAUUUUCUGUCUCUGCCUUCUGUGAUGACCCCAGAUCUUUACAGAUCAGUGUCUUUAGGCCUUAACUUGACAUCGACUGCCUUUGGGGGCUUGGACGUGCCACUGUGCUUGCCAUCUCGCUGCCACAGCGAUUUAUUUUAA